GGAUUCAUAGAUAAGAAUGUUAA
rnacentral:snRNA from 1 species